GGGGGGGGGGGGGGGAAGGAAGGCGGGGGGGGGGGGGGGGAGGGAAAUGUCACCCGGCGGGCGCGGUGCUGAGGGACGGAGCGAGGGGACGGAGGGACAGGGAGCGCCGCCGGCUGUCAAGCAGAGCAGUUGCCAAGUGAUCUUCUCCACAGCACCCACGAACUUUGGCCUUACACUGAAGAGGACUCGUCAAAUGCUUUGGGAGAUACAACACGGAAUUGGAAGAGAAGCAUGGAUCUACCUGAAGGGCAGUUCGCUGCAUUCUUGGUGUGUGGAGGAACGGGUCCCGUGCUCACUGUUGUUACUCCCACAUAGGCGGACUCUGUAACUGAUUAUAUGUGGGUAGGGCCCUAUUGAAAUUAAGGAGAUUCUGCAGUAGUGCGGGGUUCUGUUUGUGUGACCCUACUGUGCCUUCUUACUGUGAAUUCUGUCAGUGUAUCAUGGGUUGUGCUGGAACCUGCCUUUUGGGAUAAUUACCAAAUAAUAUAUUCCUCAAAACUUCUUAAUGGCACUGAGGCUUUGUGGAUAGUUGGUCACAUGAUGAGAAAAUUCAGCUCUACCAUCUCUUCCGACGCUUCUCAUUCUCUCCCUCUCUGACCACUCUGCCUCCCGUCCUGACAGCACUGUCCUAACUCCCCAUCUGGAUGACUGCUGACCAUUCCCUCUGAUGCUGACAUCAGUAUUUUCUGUGAGAGAGAGUACUGUAGUGAAGAGACAGAAAAAGAAGAAGAUGGCACUAUUGUGAUUUUGUUGUUGUAUGGCUUUGAAUCACCUACAAGUAUUGCUGCGACCGCAAAUUAAGUGUGCUGGUUUCCCAAUGAACUUGUAAUUUCAAGAUGUUUGUAGAAAUGUAAAAUCAAACGUGAACCGCAUUAAAGUCAUUUAAAUUUAACAAAAUAUAGCACUAGUCUUCUUUUAUUUUUAAUAUGGAGACCUACGUGGCUCACUUGCAGAAAGUGGGUUAUAUUUUAAAAGCUGUGGACUGGCAAGUUCUGACUUACUAAAGCAUAAAAUCAUUGUCCUCCUCCCUGUGGCAGUAGUUUCUUUAUUCAGACCCACUGCUUAAAGAUCUCUCCUGUUGUUUCCUUCUCUAUCUUCUCCUUUUUUACUUCCUUUUACUAGCUUGAGUUUCCUGUUCCUUUUUGCACCGAACUUUCCUAAGUCUCUUGGUCCAAAACCAGUCCCUUUUUCUCUCACGUAUACGUCCAUCAGCCUAAACUAC
rnacentral:lncRNA from 1 species